rnacentral:pre_miRNA from 1 species
UUUGGGGGUCGGUCCCUCAGCCCAGAUUGUGAGAGGGCACAGGCCAGGCAGAGGGACCCCACGGGUGCAGG